rnacentral:rRNA from 1 species
GUGGGGAAUUUUGGACAAUGGGCGCAAGCCUGAUCCAGCAAUGCCGCGUGCAGGAAGAAGGCCUUCGGGUUGUAAACUGCUUUUGUACGGAACGAAACGGUCCUGGUUAAUACCUGGGGCUAAUGACGGUACCGUAAGAAUAAGCACCGGCUAACUACGUGCCAGCAGCCGCGGUAAUACGUAGGGUGCAAGCGUUAAUCGGAAUUACUGGGCGUAAAGCGUGCGCAGGCGGUUUUGUAAGACAGGCGUGAAAUCCCCGGGCUCAACCUGGGGAUUGCGCUUGUGAGUGCAAGGAGGGAGGGCGGCAGAGGGGGAUGGAAUUCCGCGUGUAGCAGUGAAAUGCGUAGAUAUGCGGAGGAACACCGAUGGCGAAGGCAAUCCCCUGGGCCUGCACUGACGCUCAUGCACGAAAGCGUGGGGAGCAAACAGGAUUAGCAACCCUUGUAGUCC